CAUCCAGCUUCCGGCAAUCUCUUCGCAAACCAAUCAUCUGUGCUCAAGUGCUGGAUUCAGGCUCUGUUUUAGAAGAACCCAAAGGAGGACAGAAGGUGGCAGUUGAGCUGGGAGGAGUCGGUUGAGGGGAGGAGUCAGUUGAGGUUGUGUGUGGGCCCAGGGGGCAAGGUGCCUUCCACCGUGGACAGCACUACAGCUGUAAAGUUACCCAGGAUCAGGAGUGGUCCUUGGAGGCCUAUUUCAAGGAUUUGGUCCAAAUCCAGAGCCUCGAGACAAUAAAAAGGCUGCUGAAUGGUUACUGAGGAGAACGGCUGAACUCUCAGUGAGCUACUUCGACGGAGGAACCAAAUCGUUUGUAAUCCAUGAGACUGAAGAAGAGCCAUCUGUGGGUUUCAACCUAAAUAGUAGUUGGACUCAGGCCAACCAAAGAUGCCUUUUUGAUGCAGUUUCAAAUGCCUCCAGCAGAUCAAACUGAAAAGUCAUUGAAGAAACAACUUUGUAACAUGGAGGGCAAAGAAUCACCCAAAGAAACAAUUUAGAGGCAAAUGGAGAAUCUUUUCCACAAGUAAUUAAUACCUUUAAAAGCAUGUUUGAAAUAAUUAGUGGAUGAAAUGAUCAGAGCGGAAAACACAUUUUUAUGAAAGAACAAAUUUACAGGUGAAUGUGACCAACGAAAAUAUUCGAAGUUAAACAAUGAAAAUCAAGUGAUUGAUGCAGCUCUUUUUUGGUGAACAGUUUGGAGUUCUGCUGAUUGGUUAAAAGGAAUGGCCAUCUACCCCAACUAGUGAGGGAGCGUGUUUUAAUCCACUAAUGUUGCAUAUUGAUCUUGGAAGAUUUGCAAUGUGAUACGUGCGAUAGAUAUUUUUGCAGCUGGUACCAAGUGUAUCCAGUACUAAUAUUUAUUUUAUUAUUCAUUACAUUCUUGUACUUUCCAAUUUUUAGGCAUAAAAUUUGAUAUUUACCCUUGAAAUACUGAAAAAAAAAUCAAUUUUCCUACCCUUUGGAAGUCUAGGAGAACGCUUUCUCUUUUGGUUGCAGUGUGCAUUGGUUUCCUAUUGCUGUUGUAGCAAAUUACAGCAAAUAAACCAUGUAAAUUGAUUAUCUUA